rnacentral:rRNA from 1 species
AGAGUUUGAUCCUGGCUCAGGAUGAACGCUGGCGGCGUGCCUAAUACAUGCAAGUCGAACGCACUGUGGUUCAACUGAUCUGAAGAGCUUGCUCUGAUAUGACGAUGAACAUUGCAGUGAGUGGCGAACGGGUGAGUAACACGUGGGAAACCUACCUCUUAGCGGGGGAUAACAUCUGGAAACAGAUGCUAAUACCGCAUAACACUAGCAACCGCAUGGUUGCUACUUGAAAGAUGGUUCUGCUAUCACUAAGAGAUGGUCCCGCGGCGCAUUAGUUAGUUGGUGAGGUAAUGGCUCACCAAGACGAUGAUGCGUAGCCGAGUUGAGAGACUGAUCGGCCACAAUGGGACUGAGACACGGCCCAUACUCCUACGGGAGGCAGCAGUAGGGAAUCUUCCACAAUGGACGAAAGUCUGAUGGAGCAACGCCGCGUGUGUGAUGAAGGGUUUCGGCUCGUAAAACACUGUUGUAAGAGAAGAAUAGCAUCAAGAGUAACUGCUUGGUGUGUGACGGUAUCUUACCAGAAAGGAACGGCUAAGUACGUGCCCAGCAGCCGCGGUAAUACGUAUGUUCCAAGCGUUAUCCGGAUUUAUUGGGCGUAAAGCGAGCGCAGACGGUUUUUUAAGUCCGAAGUGAAAAGCCCACAGCUUAACUGCGGAAGUGCUUUGGAACUGGAUGACCUGAGUGCAGUAGAGGAAAG